rnacentral:rRNA from 1 species
UCGAGGAUCUUCGGCAAUGGGCGCAAGCCUGACCGAGCGACGCCGCGUGUGCGAUGAAGGCCUUCGGGUUGUAAAGCACUGUCGAGGGGGAGAAAGCCGCAAGGUUGAUCGAUCCCUGGAGGAAGCACGGGCUAAGUUCGUGCCAGCAGCCGCGGUAAGACGAACCGUGCGAACGUUGUUCGGAAUCACUGGGCUUAAAGGGCGCGUAGGCGGCAGGCCAAGUCCGCGGUGAAAGCCCCCGGCUCAACCGGGGAAGUGCCGUGGAGACUGGCGUGCUCGAGGGAGGUAGGGGCCGAGGGAACUUCUGGUGGAGCGGUGAAAUGCGUUGAUAUCAGAAGGAACGCCGGUGGCGAAAGCGCUCGGCUGGACCUCUACUGACGCUGAGGCGCGAAAGCUAGGGGAGCGAACGGGAUUAGAUACCCGCGUAGUCC